GAUGAACGCUAACGGUGUGCUUAAUACAUGCAAGUCGAACGGACAAUGUGAAAGUGGCAACACUUUUGCAAAGUCAGUGGCGAACGGGUGAGUAACACGUAGGUAAUCUACCUUGAAGAUCGGGAUAACCUUCCGAAAGGAAGGCUAAUACCGGAUGUUUUAUAUUGAUCUUAUGGUUAAUAUAAAAAAGGUAGCCGCAAGGCCUCCGCUUUAAGAUGAGCCUGCGUCCUAUUAGCUUGUUGGUAAGGUAAUGGCUUACCAAGGCAAUGAUGGGUAGCCGGCCUGAGAGGGUGACCGGCCACACUGGGACUGAGAUACGGCCCAGACUCCUACGGGAGGCAGCAGUAGGGAAUCUUGCGCAAUGGGCGAAAGCCUGACGCAGCGACACCGUGUGAAGGAUGAAGGUCUUCGGAUUGUAAACUUCUGUCAAUUGGAGACGAAGGUAACAGGGUUAAUAGCCUCUGUUACUGACGGUAUUCAAUAAGGAAGUCUCGGCUAACUCCGUGCCAGCAGCCGCGGUAAGACGGAGGAGGCAAGCGUUGUCCGGAAUUAUUGGGCGUAGAGAGCGCGUAGGUGGUUUUUCAAGUCAUGUGUGAAAACUUCAGGCUCAACUUGAAGAUUGCACAUGAAACUGGAUAACUUGAGUACAGCAGAGGAAAGUGGAAUUCCUGGUGUAGCGGUGAAAUGCGCAGAUAUCAGGAGGAACACCGGUGGCGAAGGCGGCUUUCUGGGCUGUCACUGACACUGAGGCGCGAAAGCCAGGGGAGCAAACAGGAUUAGAUACCCUGGUAGUCCACGCAGUAAACGAUGAUUACUAGCUGUUUGCGAUACAAUGUAAGCGGCUGAGCGAAAGCGUUAAGUAAUCCACCUGGGAAGUACGUUCGCAAGAAUGAAACUCAAAGGAAUUGACGGGGGCCCGCACAAGCGGAGGAACAUGUGGUUUAAUUCGAUGAUACGCGAGGAACCUUACCCGGGCUUGAAAUGCAUCUGACCGGGCCGGAAACGGUCUUUCCCAGCGAUGGGCAGAUGUGUAGGUGCUGCAUGGUUGUCGUCAGCUCGUGCCGUGAGGUGUCGGCUUAAGUGCCAUAACGAGCGCAACCCUCAUCGUCAGUUACCAUCGGGUAAAGCCGGGGACUCUGACGAGACUGCCAUCGUAAGAUGCGAGGAAGGUGGGGAUGACGUCAAAUCAGCACGGCCCUUAUGUCCGGGGCGACACACGUGUUACAAUGGGCGGUACAGCGGGGAGCUACCUGGCGACAGGGAGCCGAUCCCGAAAGCCGCUCACAGUUCGGAUCGGAGUCUGCAACUCGACUCCGUGAAGUCGGAUUCGCUAGUAAUCGCGCAUCAGCCACGGCGCGGUGAAUACGUUCCCGGGCCUUGUACACACCGCCCGUCAAGCCAUGGGAGUCGGGGGUACCUGAAGUUCGUAACCCUUCGGGGAGCGACCUAGGGUAAGACCGGUGACUGGGGCU
rnacentral:rRNA from 1 species